rnacentral:rRNA from 1 species
UACGUAGGGGGCGAGCGUUGUCCGGAAUUAUUGGGCGUAAAGCGCGCGCAGGCGGUCCUUUAAGUCUGAUGUGAAAGCCCACGGCUCAACCGUGGAGGGUCAUUGGAAACUGGGGGACUUGAGUGCAGGAGAGAAGAGUGGAAUUCCACGUGUAGCGGUGAAAUGCGUAGAUAUUGGGAGGAACACCAGUGGCGAAGGCGGCUACCUGGACCGGUUCUGACGCUGAUGCGCGAAAGCGUGGGAGCAACGGG